CUCUGGGGAAGAGGCUCUUCCACAUUUUCUGCCUUAGGCUUUCUCUGGCUUGUAGCAUAUCAUUUAGCCAUGAGAUAAUUUUACUCGAGGAGUCUUGAUAGAAAGCUACACCACAUAAUGAAGAUAUAGAUUUCCUCUGAUAGGCAUCUGCUAGUGUGGAGCAAAUUGGAAGCAGAGCUGACCGUCUAAGCAUUGGAACUGAAGAACUGUAUUUGUACUCGAGCACUGAUAUUGAGGUGAGU